GACGAACGCUGGCGGCGUGCUUAACACAUGCAAGUCGAACGGAAAGGCCUGCUUUUGUGGGGUGCUCGAGUGGCGAACGGGUGAGUAACACGUGAGUAACCUGCCCUUGACUUUGGGAUAACUUCAGGAAACUGGGGCUAAUACCGGAUAGGAGCUCCUGCUGCAUGGUGGGGGUUGGAAAGUUUCGGCGGUUGGGGAUGGACUCGCGGCUUAUCAGCUUGUUGGUGGGGUAGUGGCUUACCAAGGCUUUGACGGGCAGCCGGCCUGAGAGGGUGACCGGCCACAUUGGGACUGAGAUACGGCCCAGACUCCUACGGGAGGCAGCAGUGGGGAAUAUUGCACAAUGGGCGGAAGCCUGAUGCAGCAACGCCGCGUGCGGGAUGACGGCCUUCGGGUUGUAAACCGCUUUCGCCUGUGACGAAGCGUGAGUGACGGUAAUGGGUAAAGAAGCACCGGCUAACUACGUG
rnacentral:rRNA from 1 species